AUGCUCACUUUGACAGCACAUAUACUAAAAUUGAAACAAUACUAACAAAUUAGUAAGGUUUCUUAACAAGAAUGAUGCACAAAUUCCUGAAGCAUUUUACAUUUUU
rfam:Erinaceus europaeus unplaced genomic scaffold scaffold00490, whole genome shotgun sequence